GCCUGUGUGGUGUAGUAGUAUGGACAUUAGACUUGGAUUCUAGAUACUAGGGUUCAAAUCCCCGUUCAGUCU
rnacentral:tRNA from 1 species